rnacentral:misc_RNA from 1 species
CUUCUUCCACAUCCCAUGCAAUCCAACCCAAAACUACCCCAAAAGAACCAGCCCAAUACCAAUGGUUCUACAUCAAGAACACCCCGCCUUUCAUUCUGGACAACGAAGGAGUCCACAACAAGAAGAAAAAGAACGGAAAAAUGGUGAGAAAGAGAAAGAAGCAGAUCAAGAACUUCAAAACCAGGCCUUCUGCUUCUUUUUCUGUUAUGCUCCCUAAGGGUUUUGUUCCUCCUUCUGGCUCGUCUCCUUGCCACAAUGAGAAACCCAAUAAUGCCAGAGUCACCUUUUACUGCCAUCUUUCAACCUCAAAACCCUAGAGUCCAUAUCCUACUAAUCUUGUCCAGCAAGAAGAUGGUUCCUCUUUCUUUCGAUGCUUUCUUGGUGAUUUUUGUUGCAGUUUUCUGUCUUUUCUUUGAAGCUACCAAGCUUAAAAAUGUAAACACGAUUUUGGAUACGUUGUAACAGAGAUGAUAAUAGCUAAUAUUUGAAUAAAAGAGAUGUAAAAACCAUCUGAG